GGGUUGUGAGGUUAAGCGACUAAGCGUACACGGUGGAUGCCCCGGCAGUCAGAGGCGAUGAAGGACGUGCUAAUCUGCGAAAAGCGUCGGUAAGGUGAUAUGAACCGUUAUAACCGGCGAUGUCCGAAUGGGGAAACCCAGUGUGAUUCGUCACACUAUCGUUAACUGAAUACAUAGGUUAACGAGGCGAACCGGGGGAACUGAAACAUCUAAGUACCCCGAGGAAAAGAAAUCAACCGAGAUUCCCCCAGUAGCGGCGAGCGAACGGGGAGCAGCCCAGAGUCUGAAUCAGCUUGUGUGUUAGUGGAACGGUCUGGAAAGUCCGACGGUACAGGGUGAUAGUCCCGUACACCAAAAUGCACAGGCUGUGAACUCGAAGAGUAGGGCGGGACACGUGGUAUCCUGUCUGAAUAUGGGGGGACCAUCCUCCAAGGCUAAAUACUCCUGACUGACCGAUAGUGAACCAGUACCGUGAGGGAAAGGCGAAAAGAACCCCGGCGAGGGGAGUGAAAAAGAACCUGAAACCGUGUACGUACAAGCAGUGGGAGCACCUUCGGGUGUGACUGCGUACCUUUUGUAUAAUGGGUCAGCGACUUAUAUUCUGUAGCAAGGUUAACCGUAUAGGGGAGCCGCAGGGAAACCGAGUCUUAACUGGGCGUUAAGUUGCAGGGUAUAGACCCGAAACCCGGUGAUCUAGCCAUGGGCAGGUUGAAGGUUGGGUAACACUAACUGGAGGACCGAACCGACUAAUGUUGAAAAAUUAGCGGAUGACUUGUGGCUGGGGGUGAAAGGCCAAUCAAACCGGGAGAUAGCUGGUUCUCCCCGAAAGCUAUUUAGGUAGCGCCUCGUGAACUCAUCUUCGGGGGUAGAGCACUGUUUCGGCUAGGGGGUCAUCCCGACUUACCAACCCGAUGCAAACUACGAAUACCGAAGAAUGUUAUCACGGGAGACACACGGCGGGUGCUAACGUCCGUCGUGAAGAGGGAAACAACCCAGACCGCCAGCUAAGGUCCCAAAGUCAUGGUUAAGUGGGAAACGAUGUGGGAAGGCACAGACAGCCGGAUGUUGGCUUAGAAGCAGCCAUCAUUUAAAGAAAGCGUAAUAGCUCACUGGUCGAGUCGGCCUGCGCGGAAGAUGUAACGGGGCUAAACCAUGCACCGAAGCUGCGGCAGCGACACUAUGUGUUGUUGGGUAGGGGAGCGUUCUGUAAGCCUGCGAAGGUGUGCUGUGAGGCAUGCUGGAGGUAUCAGAAGUGCGAAUGCUGACAUAAGUAACGAUAAAGCGGGUGAAAAGCCCGCUCGCCGGAAGACCAAGGGUUCCUGUCCAACGUUAAUCGGGGCAGGGUGAGUCGACCCCUAAGGCGAGGCCGAAAGGCGUAGUCGAUGGGAAACAGGUUAAUAUUCCUGUACUUGGUGUUACUGCGAAGGGGGGACGGAGAAGGCUAUGUUAGCCGGGCGACGGUUGUCCCGGUUUAAGCAUGUAGGCUGGUUGUCCAGGCAAAUCCGGAUAAUCAAGGCUGAGGUGUGAUGACGAGGCACUACGGUGCUGAAGUAACAAAUGCCCUGCUUCCGGGAAAAGCCUCUAAGCAUCAGGUAACAUCAAAUCGUACCCCAAACCGACACAGGUGGUCAGGUAGAGAAUACCAAGGCGCUUGAGAGAACUCGGGUGAAGGAACUAGGCAAAAUGGUGCCGUAACUUCGGGAGAAGGCACGCUGGUGUGUAGGUGAAGUCCCUGCGGAUGGAGCUGAGACCAGUCGAAGAUACCAGCUGGCUGCAACUGUUUAUUAAAAACACAGCACUGUGCAAACACGAAAGUGGACGUAUACGGUGUGACGCCUGCCCGGUGCCGGAAGGUUAAUUGAUGGGGUUAUCCGUAAGGAGAAGCUCUUGAUCGAAGCCCCGGUAAACGGCGGCCGUAACUAUAACGGUCCUAAGGUAGCGAAAUUCCUUGUCGGGUAAGUUCCGACCUGCACGAAUGGCGUAAUGAUGGCCGGCUGUCUCCACCCGAGACUCAGUGAAAUUGAACUCGCUGUGAAGAUGCAGUGUACCCGCGGCAAGACGGAAAGACCCCGUGAACCUUUACUAUAGCUUGACACUGAACAUUGAGCCUUGAUGUGUAGGAUAGGUGGGAGGCUUUGAAGCGUGGACGCCAGUCUGCGUGGAGCCAACCUUGAAAUACCACCCUUUAAUGUUUGAUGUUCUAACGUUGGCCCCUGACCGGGGUUGCGGACAGUGUCUGGUGGGUAGUUUGACUGGGGCGGUCUCCUCCCAAAGCGUAACGGAGGAGCACGAAGGUUAGCUAAUCCUCGGUCGGACAUCAGGAGGUUAGUGCAAUGGCAUAAGCUAGCUUGACUGCGAGCGUGACGGCGCGAGCAGGUGCGAAAGCAGGUCAUAGUGAUCCGGUGGUUCUGAAUGGAAGGGCCAUCGCUCAACGGAUAAAAGGUACUCCGGGGAUAACAGGCUGAUACCGCCCAAGAGUUCAUAUCGACGGCGGUGUUUGGCACCUCGAUGUCGGCUCAUCACAUCCUCGGGGCUGAAGUAGGUCCCAAGGGUAUGGCUGUUCGCCAUUUAAAGUGGUACGCGAGCUGGGUUUAGAACGUCGUGAGACAGUUCGGUCCCUAUCUGCCGUGGGCGCUGGAGAAUUGAGGGGGGCUGCUCCUAGUACGAGAGGACCGGAGUGGACGCAUCACUGGUGUUCGGGUUGUCAUGCCAAUGGCACUGCCCGGUAGCUAAAUGCGGAAGAGAUAAGUGCUGAAAGCAUCUAAGCACGAAACUUGCCCCGAGAUGAGUUCUCCCUGAGACUUUAAGUCUCCUGAAGGAACGUUAAAGACGAUGACGUUGAUAGGCCGGGUGUGUAAGCGCAGCGAUGCGUUGAGCUAACCGGUACUAAUGAACCGUGAGGCUUAACCUUACAACGCCGAAG
rnacentral:rRNA from 1 species